CACAUGCAAGUCGAGCGAGAAGUUUUGAAAAGAUUCUUCGGAUGAAAUUUAAAAUGGAAAGCGGCGGACGGGUGAGUAACGCGUAGGCAACCUGCCCCAUACAAAGGGAUAGCAUUUGGAAACGAAUAUUAAUACCUUAUGAAACUUAACUAGUGCAUGCUAGGUAGGUCAAAGAUUUAUCGGUAUGGGAUGGGCCUGCGUCUGAUUAGCUAGUUGGUGAGGUAACGGCUCACCAAGGCGACGAUCAGUAGCCGACCUGAGAGGGUGAACGGCCACAUUGGAACUGAGACACGGUCCAAACUCCUACGGGAGGCAGCAGUGGGGAAUAUUGCACAAUGGGGGAAACCCUGAUGCAGCAACGCCGCGUGAACGAUGAAGGCCUUUGGGUCGUAAAGUUCUGUUCUAGGUGAUGAAAACUGACAGUAACCUAGGAGAAAGCCCCGGCUAACUCCGUGCCAGCAGCCGCGGUAAUACGGAGGGGGCAAGCGUUAUCCGGAAUUAUUGGGCGUAAAGGGUACGUAGGUGGCCUUUUAAGCGUAGGGUAUAAGGCAAUGGCUCAACCAUUGUUCGCCCUAUGAACUGGAAGGCUUGAGUGCAGGAGAGGAAAGCGGAAUUCCUAGUGUAGCGGUGGAAUGCAUAGAUAUUAGGAGGAACAUCAGCGGCGAAGGCGGCUUUCUGGACUGCAACUGACACUGAGGUACGAAAGCGUGGGGAGCAAACAGGAUUAGAUACCCUGGUAGUCCACGCCGUAAACGAUGAGCACUAGGUGUCGGGGUCGUAAGGCUUCGGUGCCGUAGUUAACGCAUUAAGUGCUCCGCCUGGGGGAGUACGCACGCAAGUGUGAAACUCAAAGGAAUUGACGGGGACCCGCACAAGCAGCGGAAGCAUGUGGUUUAAUUCGAAGCAACGCGAAAAAACU
rnacentral:rRNA from 1 species